UGGUGGGUAGUUUGACUGGGGCGGUCUCCUCCUAAAGAGUAACGGAGGAGCACGAAGGUUGGCUAAUCCUGGUCGGACAUCAGGAGGUUAGUGCAAUGGCAUAAGCCAGCUUGACUGCGAGCGUGACGGCGCGAGCAGGUGCGAAAGCAGGUCAUAGUGAUCCGGUGGUUCUGAAUGGAAGGGCCAUCGCUCAACGGAUAAAAGGUACUCCGGGGAUAACAGGCUGAUACCGCCCAAGAGUUCAUAUCGACGGCGGUGUUUGGCACCUCGAUGUCGGCUCAUCACAUCCUGGGGCUGAAGUAGGUCCCAAGGGUAUGGCUGUUCGCCAUUUAAAGUGGUACGCGAGCUGGGUUUAGAACGUCGUGAGACAGUUCGGUCCCUAUCUGCCGUGGGCGCUGGAGAACUGAGGGGGGCUGCUCCUAGUACGAGAGGACCGGAGUGGACGCAUCACUGGUGUUCGGGUUGUCAUGCCAAUGGCACUGCCCGGUAGCUAAAUGCGGAAGAGAUAAGUGCUGAAAGCAUCUAAGCACGAAACUUGCCCCGAGAUGAGUUCUCCCUGAGACUUUAGGUCUCCUGAAGGAACGUUGAAGACGACGACGUUGAUAGGCCGGGUGUGUAAGCGCAGCGAUGCGUUGAGCUAACCGGUACUA
rnacentral:rRNA from 1 species